GCACCAUUCUCAUCUUACCAUCACACAGUUUUCAUUUAGUCUGGUUCCGUCUAGAGAUUUCGCUUUUUUAAAUGAUCUGUUUUCUGAGCAAAAAUUGAAAU